UGCACUCUUGCAACCGGCACUUUCUAAAGCUGCAUCUUUAUGCUGGUACAUUUUGCCGUGUCUCACUCAGCAAAGAAUAUUGCUUCUUAUUUCGGGAAUUCCAAAAUGCUUGUGCUACUGUGUCAGUGAUUUUUUUUUUUUGUGCUUAUCAUUAUCUAACUGGUCCUAUAUCAUUGUACCAGAGUCCUAACAUUUUUUCUUUAUGCUCUAGUAUAUUGAUGGUGCCUAUGUCAUCUUUUAUGCCCUAGGUGCUCAUGCAGUGUAACAGAAGCCUAGAAUGCAGGCAGAAUAAUUUCAUGCUCGUUUGCAGCAUCCUCUCCGACAUAGAGUACACUGCACACACCUGGAUCCUGUUAUCGAGCUGUGGGCGCAAGGCAGACUCCAAGGCCUUUUCCAAACAGAAGCAGCUCAGCAACUGUGACAUGGCCAUCUUAAAGCAUUAUGAAAAGCUUAUGGGAGAUCUUCAUGUCAAGAAAUAAGACAGCACCUAUCAUUCUUUCUUGCCUACACAGAAGUAUGAUGUACAAAACAGAAUCAAUUCUGACUGUGAUAAUGAAAAUUUGAGUGCUCACUAGUGCAAUGACCUGGCUCUUACUGUCAGCAGCUGAUGCUGCAAUGAUUUUUAUUAAACCUGUUCUAGGGAAA